rfam:Clostridium sp. CAG:127 genomic scaffold, scf129
ACUUGACUUUUAAUCAAGUUGUCGGGGGUUCGAUUCCCCCGUGGCUCA